AUCCCUCUGGAGAGUCUCUUGCUUUUUCCAAGUAGGAGCGCCGAAGGUGUAAGGCGGAUAUUUUAUUUUUCUGCCGAUCUCUCAGGCAAAAGGACAGGGCA
rnacentral:ncRNA from 1 species